CAUGGGAAAGUGCAUUUAAUUUCCCCCAAGAUGUUCCACAAAACUCAGUCAUCAUAGGGUCCCUGUGAUCUGCAGCUAAAAUUAAACUAGGGGUCUUCAGCGAGUGAUAAAAAGCAGCUGUUUUUGGAGGGGGUUCACAUUUAAGCCUGUACACUCCAUGCCAGCAGCAGUCAAUGCCCUCUUGAUCCCCAGGAGUUCAGUGAAUACACUCACUUUUCUUCUGCUUUCUCAAAAGUUAAUAAUGCCCCCAGUCUGCAUCCAUCAACUCAUUCCCCACAGGAGUGCAAGGCAGACCACAUGCAUGUGUUGGGAAUAUCCUACAGACACGUGUCUGCUUGUAAAAUCCUCUGACACAUCUAUAAGGACCGGUAUAGUCAUCCCAUAGUUUACAAAGAACAGAUCCAGCUUUUAGGGUGACCCCCAAGUCCUCCCAAGAUGAGGUCCCGAAUAGCACUGAGAUACUGAGUUCCCUGUACA